rnacentral:rRNA from 1 species
UACAGAGGGGGCAAGCGUUAUUCGGAAUUAUUGGGCGUAAAGGGCGCGUAGGCGGCUUGGCAAGUGGAAGGUGAAAUCCCUCGGCUUAACCGAGGAACUGCCUUCCAGACUGCUUUGCUUGAGGCCGGGAGAGGCGAGUGGAAUUCCCAGUGUAGCGGUGAAAUGCGUAGAUAUUGGGAAGAACACCUGAGGCGAAGGCGGGUUGCUGGGCCGACACUGACGCUGAGGCGCGAAAGCCAGGGGAGCAAACGGGG